UACGGAGGGUGCGAGCGUUGUUCGGAAUCACUGGGCGUAAAGCGCGUGUAGGCGGCCCAUUAAGUCUGAUGUGAAAGCCCGGGGCUCACCCCCGGAAGUGCAUUGGAAACUGAUGGACUCGAGUCCCGGAGAGGAGAGUGGAAUUCCUGGUGUAGCGGUGAAAUGCGUAGAUAUCGAGAGGAACACCUGCGGCGAAGGCGGGUUGCUGGGCCGACACUGACGCUGAAGCGCGAAAGCCAGGGGAGCGAACGGG
rnacentral:rRNA from 1 species